rnacentral:lncRNA from 1 species
UUUGAUACUAAUUUUUUGGAUCAGGUUCAGUUCGUUUUUUUGGAUCCGAGUGUUUUGCCCAGUCCUAUAUAAAACUAUAAGAAGAUUACUAUUUAUAUAUUGGAAGAUGACUCAGCUUGACGAAACCAUGUUGCCGGCUCGUGAAAUCAGGUGGAAUAUGCUUUCGUUCCAAACAUUUUCUCGAUGGUGUAAGCCUAUACAUAAGCAUCUUCAUGGUUACAUCAGCCUAUACAUAAGCAUUUGAUUUUAGUUAUCUGUCUUAAUAAAGUGCAGCCUCAUUAUUUAACACAACAAGACCAUUAUAAUAUUUUGGUCAACUUGAUAGUCAUCUAGGUCGACCCUUAAAUAUGUUUUGAUUUAGUUAUUCUCCCAAAAAACUGGUAAAAAUAUUCCCAAUUUGUAAAUGUGAACCAAUUACCCACAUUAAUUUCAUAACUAAUAUAAUACUUUGCAA